UACGGAGGGGGCAAGCGUUGUUCGGAAUUACUGGGCGUAAAGCGCGUGUAGGCGGCCCUGUAAGUCGGGUGUGAAAUCCCACGGCUCAACCGUGGAAGUGCAUUCGAAACUACAGGGCUAGAGUUCUGGAGAGGAAGGUGGAAUGCUUGGUGUAGAGGUGAAAUUCGUAGAUAUCAAGCGGAACACCGGUGGCGAAGGCGGCCUUCUGGACAGUAACUGACGCUGAGACGCGAAAGCGUGGGGAGCAAACAGG
rnacentral:rRNA from 1 species